rnacentral:rRNA from 1 species
UACGGAGGGAGCUAGCGUUGUUCGGAAUUACUGGGCGUAAAGCGCACGUAGGCGGCUUUGUAAGUUAGAGGUGAAAGCCCGGAGCUCAACUCCGGAACUGCCUUUAAGACUGCAUCGCUUGAAUCCAGGAGAGGUGAGUGGAAUUCCGAGUGUAGAGGUGAAAUUCGUAGAUAUUCGGAAGAACACCAGUGGCGAAGGCGGCUCACUGGACUUGGUAUUGACGCUGAGGUGGCGAAAAGCGUGGGGAGCAAACAGG